GUAACAGCCAUGAUCGGGAUAACAGUCUGAAACAGGGCCACAGAGAGCCGGGUUGGGUGGAAGCCGGUGCUGCUGGCAGGCUGGUCUCACCCGGGAGUUGCCCCCGUGAAAGUUUUACACACGAGUAAUUGGGGCCGGGUUUCGGUAACCCGUUAUCAAAAAGCACACGGGCAGCUAACUGUCUGUAUCUGUGCAUGAGUGGCUCUUUAAUUAGAGCAAUCAGGGUGGUACCGCGGAAGGAUUAACCUCUCGUCCCUGGC
rnacentral:ncRNA from 1 species